UCCACCACACGUGUGGGUGUUAGCGUUGUCCUAAAAAGGGUACCACCCCUAGAAAAGGUAUCUAAUUUUAGGUGACCCAUGUAUGAAGCCCAACGUUUUUAUGCAAGCCCAUUAGAGUCGACAUGUACCAUUCUGUACAAUUUCUUUUCUAAGUAAAAAACAGCCUGUGUCCCAUACAUGUCAUCUACAUAGAAUAGAACUAUCCCCUUUUCUAAAAAAAAGAACCAUCCCCAGCUCUCGUACGAUCCCCACCAGGCUGCUGAGUCCUCAUCCUCGUUUGCCAUUUCUUCCGAUUUGCCGCCGGCGAAGGAAGAUGUCACCGUUGGCCAUCAGAAAAUUAAUACCCAGGUUAUCCCAGAUCUACAUGUCGUUUCUUUUCUCUGAGUUUUGCUUCCAUGGGGUGGUGGCGCAUGUGGCUGGGUGAGUGCACGGAUCUCGGCAACCUCCUCGAGCCUGGAGACAUGUCCACGGAGAUUGCCAAGGAGAAUUUGGGUUGUGCUGUUCAUACUUGCCAUCGCCGGGUGCUUUGGAUGUUGGUGGCGCGGAGGUAGUGAGGGAACUCACGAAGCAAGGAUGUGAAGCAGCUUGUGCGGGCGGCUUCCUACUUGUUGUCUUGUUCAUUGUUGGUGUUGUUUGGAGUCCUACCAAAUGUAAGAAGGAAACGCAGACAGUUGGGUAUGACUUACGUAGAAAUCGAGUUGCAUGCCACUUCAUAAUUUGGGCUGGCCUCGAAAUUUGCGGAGCGCAGAGUCCAAACAUCUCGCGUCAGAGUCUGUUGGCUUCAACUGUCCUGGUGGUGGCAUCGUCGAGUCACGGCAUCGUAGAGUUGGUUGGCUUCAAUUUUCCUGGUCGUGUCGCUGAGUCGCAAGUUGCUGGACGUCUUAGAUUUCCAGACUGAAGAUGGGCGUGUUUGGCUGUUGGGUGUGGUCGGCCGUCUAUUUUUAUGGAUGAGUUCUGGCCAUGUCCUUAUGGAGUCCUUGUAUGUUUAUAUUUCCAAUUAAACGCUAUGUGCGAAUAGUCUGAUGGAUGCGGCCAGCCGUGUAUUUUUGGGGACGUGUCCGUAUGCACUCGUUGGCUGACCAAGUUACUAAUGUGUCCUUGCGAGUUCCGAUUAGGAAUUGUACCUGACAAUAGUUGGAUAUGUAACCUCUACUGUCCAUAUCUAAUAUUAGUUGUAGAGGUAAUUUAAUCUUUGAUUUUUUUUGUGAACCGGUGCUCCCUUCUAUGACUCCGUUGAUGUACCUUAUGCAUGUGUGUAUGCAUAUAGACGUGACAGUUCAAUUUCCCAACACGUACAUAUUUAGUGUUACGUAAAAUCUUUAAA